GACGAACGCUGGCGGCGUGCUUAACACAUGCAAGUCGAACGGAAAGGCCCUGCUUUUGUGGGGUGCUCGAGUGGCGAACGGGUGAGUAACACGUGAGUAACCUGCCCUUGACUUUGGGAUAACUUCAGGAAACUGGGGCUAAUACCGGAUAGGAGCUCCUGCUGCAUGGUGGGGGUUGGAAAGUUUCGGCGGUUGGGGAUGGGCUCGCGGCUUAUCAGCUUGUUGGUGGGGUAGUGGCUUACCAAGGCUUUGACGGGUAGCCGGCCUGAGAGGGUGACCGGCCACAUUGGGACUGAGAUACGGCCCAGACUCCUACGGGAGGCAGCAGUGGGGAAUAUUGCACAAUGGGCGGAAGCCUGAUGCAGCGACGCCGCGUGCGGGAUGACGGCCUUCGGGUUGUAAACCGCUUUCGCCUGUGACGAAGCGUGAGUGACGGUAAUGGGUAAAGAAGCACCGGCUAACUACGUG
rnacentral:rRNA from 1 species